rnacentral:rRNA from 1 species
UACGUAGGUGGCAAGCGUUGUCCGGAUUUACUGGGCGUAAAGGGCGUGCAGGCGGUUUGUUAAGUUCAGGGUGAAAGCUCCCGGCUCAACUGGGAGAGGUCCUUGGAUACUGGCAGACUUGAGGAGGGUAGAGGAGAGUGGAAUUCCCGGUGUAGUGGUGAUAUGCGUAGAUAUCGGGAGGAACACCAGUGGCGAAGGCGGCUCUCUGGGCCCUACCUGACGCUGAGACGCGAAAGCGUGGGGAGGCGAACCGG